AUUGAACGCUGGCGGCAGGCCUAACACAUGCAAGUCGAACGAGUGGCGCACGGGUGUGUAAUGUCUGGGAAACUGCCUGAUGGAGGGGGAUAACCACUGGAAACGGUAGUUAAUACCGCACACCAUCAGGUGUGUCCCGAGGGGAUUAGCUUGUUGGUGGGGUAACGGCUCACCACGGCGUCGAUGCCGAGCUGGUCUGAGAGGAUGACAAGCCACACUGGAACUGAGACACGGUCCAGACUCCUACGGGAGGCAGCAGUGGGGAAUAUUGCACAAUGGGCGCAAGCCGGAUGCAGCCAUGCCGCGUGUAUGAAGAAGGCCUUCGGGUUGUAAAGUACUUUCAGCGGGGAGGCGUUACCCGCAGAAGAAGCACCGGCUAACUCCGUGCCAGCAGCCGCGGUAAUAC
rnacentral:rRNA from 1 species